rnacentral:rRNA from 1 species
GAUGAACGCUGGCGGCAUGCCUAAUACAUGCAAGUCGAACGAGAGGAAGGAAAGCUUGCAUUUCUGAAUCUAGUGGCGAACGGGUGAGUAACACGUAGGUAACCUGCCCAUGUGCCCGGGAUAACUUCUGGAAACGGAUGCUAAAACCGGUUAGGUAGCAGACAAGCAUUUGACUGCUAUUAAAGUGGCUAAGGCCAUGAACAUGGAUGGACCUGCGGUGCAUUAGCUAGUUGGUGAGGCAACGGCCCACCAAGGCGACGAUGCAUAGCCGGCCUGAGAGGGCGGACGGCCACAUUGGGACUGAGACACGGCCCAAACUCCUACGGGAGGCAGCAGUAGGGAAUUUUCGUCAAUGGGGGGAACCCUGAACGAGCAAUGCCGCGUGAGUGAGGAAGGUCUUCGGAUCGUAAAGCUCUGUUGUAAGAGAAAAACGACAUUCAUAGGGAAUGAUGAGUGAGUGAUGGUAUCUUACCAGAAAGUCACGGCUAACUACGUGCCAGCCGCCGCAGUAA